GUUCUGGGCCGCACGCGCGCUACACUGAUGUAUUCAACGAGUAUAUAGCCUUGGCCGACAGGCCCGGGUAAUCUUGGGAAAUUUCAUCGUGAUGGGGAUAGAUCAUUGCAAUUGUUGGUCUUCACACAGGAAUGCCUAGUAAGCGCGAGUCAUCAGCUCGCGUUGACUACGUCCCUGCCCUUUGUACACACCGCCCGUCGCUCCUACCGAUUGAAUGGUCCGGUGAAGUGUUCGGAUCGCGGCGACGGGGGCGG
rnacentral:ncRNA from 1 species